rnacentral:rRNA from 1 species
CGGGUCAGAACUGGCUAUACCUGAGCAGCCACGCGCGUGAUGAGAGGAUUUCGGGUUGUAAAGCUCUUUUGCCAGGGAAGACGUGUCGGUUCCUGCUGGCACUCCCCGGCCAGCUCCUUGCCAGCAGCCCCCGGCUUACUACCUGCCACCAGCCGCGUAUAAUAA